CAGGAUUUGAAUGGGGGACUUCAAAUUGCCAGCAAGGCACUAACUAGGAAGGGGAGCUCCUGAAGGGCCGGGGUUGUAUUUGCCUUUCCUCCCAUUCCCAAGUUUUAGGACAAUACUUGUCACAAGUAAAUGCUUAAUCAGUGUCUCCUGACUGGCUGUCAGCCAUUCAAAAUAGGACAGAAAGGAAACUCUUCCCUGCCCUCACGGAGUUUGCCUUCUGCAAGAUUCACAGGGAGAAUGGGGCCCAUUGUCAGAUAUGUAAACAGGAACAAUAGAAAGGCUCCGUUGCCUUGACAAGAUGGGGCUUUGGGAUGAAGAGCUUUGCUCUUCAACCCAACCAGACCUUGUUUCGCCAGGAACUGGGCUCACCAUUGGUGAGAGGAGCCCAGAAAUGAAAUGGUGGCUGCCCUCAGUGAGCUCCCCUUCUCCCCAUGACACAAGAAAAUGCCAAUGUGAUUUAAGGUAAUUUCCAAGACCACAAUCAAUUUUGAGCUUCUAUGAUCCAGUAACAUCAUGGAGGACACCAUCAGCACCAUGGAGAGUAGGAAGAGGGAACUCUGAUCUCUGAAUCGCUACAGUUGAGAUAGAUGAGGAAACUGUGGACCAUGGAUAUUAAGUGAUAAUCAGAAUGUUGAGUUACGUGAAAGCCAAAGAGAAACAACUGAGCAUGAUUAACUUCAAGAAAAAACUUGGAGAGAUCAUCAUCUGGGUUGAUCAUGAAGCUGAUGAGAGAGAAUAAUCAAAGAAUCACAGAUCUGAAACAUAAGGGACAGCAGAGAUCACCUAUUCCACCACCUUCAUUUUUGAGAUGAGGAAACAGACUCAGAGAGAUUAAAGACCUUCCCUAACUUCUCAUAGCUAGAAUUCAGGAAUCAAUACAAGGCCCUCUGAACCCAAAUCUAGGCUUCUUUUCAAUGUACUAUUCUAGAGUGAUGAUAAUAACAUGGAGUGCUUUAAUAUUUUAAAUGUACUUUAAAUACAUUAUUUAAUUUUUUUUACAACUCAGUGAAAAAAGUACUAUAAUUUCCCCCAUAUCGUGAUGAAGAAAUUGAAGCUAAAUAAAGUGAUUUGCCAAGGCUUCCAGAGCUAGCAAAGGGCUCACACUCUGGUCCUUCUAACUUCCAAUAUCAAAAGUUUCCUCCCUUAUUAUCUCUUAACUGCUUAUGACUAGUCAAUCAACAAGUAUAUACUAUGUGACUUGGUUAGGUGUCCCAAAAUAGGUGGUGAUGUCUUGGUGGUAUACAUGAUCUAUUCUCUCAUUAGCAAGGAGGGUGCUAUUUCUCUUCAAAAAUGAAGGACGAAGAACAUAAUAAUAUAUGAAGUGACUACUGCAUCAUAUGUAAGAUGGAGAUAUAAGAAAGAUAAAAAUUGGUUCCCGACCUAAAGAAGUGCAUGUUAGCAAAAUGUGGAUAAACUAUAUCAAUAUCUAAGUACACAGACAAUAUACACAGAACAGAGGAAAGGUAAUCUGAAAAAGGGAAAGCAUUUGAGAUUGCUGAGGUUAGGAAAAAAAGGCCUCCUGCAGAAA